rnacentral:rRNA from 1 species
GCAGAACGCGAAGAACCUUACCAGGGCUUGACAUCCUACUAAUGAAGCAGAGAUGCAUUAAGUGCCCGUUCGGGGAAAGUAGAGACAGGUGGUGCAUGGUUGUCGUCAGCUCGUGUCGUGAGAUGUUGGGUUAAGUCCCGCAACGAGCGCAACCCCUAUUGUUAGUUGCUACGCAAGAGCACUCUAGCGAGACUGCCGUUGACAAAACGGAGGAAGGUGGGGACGACGUCAAAUCAUCAUGCCCCUUAUGUCCUGGGCCACACACGUAAUGCAAUGGCGGUCAACAGAGGGAUGCUAAGCCGUGAGGUGGAGCGAACCCCUAAAAGCCGUCUCAGUUCGGAUUACAGGCUGCAACUCGCCUGCAUGAAGCUGGAGUUGCUAGUAAUCGUGGAUCAGCAUGUCACGGUGAAUACGUUCCCGGGUCUUGUACACACCG